CAGUAGCCGCGGGAAUACAGAGGGUGCAAGCGUUAAUCGGAAUUACUGGGCGUAAAGCGCGCGUAGGUGGUUUGUUAAGUUGGAUGUGAAAGCCCCGGGCUCAACCUGGGAACUGCAUCCAAAACUGGCAAGCUAGAGUACGGUAGAGGGUGGUGGAAUUUCCUGUGUAGCGGUGAAAUGCGUAGAUAUAGGAAGGAACACCAGUGGCGAAGGCGACCACCUGGACUGAUACUGACACUGAGGUGCGAAAGCGUGGGGAGCAAACAGGAUUAGAUAACCGUGUAGUCCCUGUCUCUUAUAA
rnacentral:rRNA from 1 species